rnacentral:rRNA from 1 species
GACGAACGCUGGCGGCGUGCUUAACACAUGCAAGUCGAACGGAAAGGCCUGCUUUCCCUUGUGGAUUGCGGGUACUCGAGUGGCGAACGGGUGAGUAACACGUGAGUGAUCUGCCCCCAACUUGGGUAUAAGCCUGGGAUACUGGGUCUAAUUCCCGAUAGGACUGCAGGGUGGUGCCUGUGGUGGAAAACGAUUUUCUAGUGGUUGGGGAUGAGCUCGCGGCCUAUCAGCUUGUUGGUGGGGUAAUGGCCUACCAAGGCGGCGACGGGUAGCCGGCCUGGGGGAGUGGACGGCCGCAUUGGGACGGAGAUACGGCCCAGGCGCCAACGGGAAGCAGCAGUGGGGAAGAAUGCGCAGGGGGCGGAGGCCUGAGGCAGCGACGCCGCGUGGGGGAUGACGGCCUUCGGAUUGUAAACUCCUUUCGACCGCGAGGAAGCCACCUGGUUGGAAGGGUGGUGACGGUAGUGGUAGAAGAAGCACCGGCUAACUACGUG